CUGAGUUCCCCAACCUGCAGUUCACGUCCAAGAUCCGUGACAUCCAGAUGUCCCCCAAGGUGUUCUAGAAUGAGAUGGUAUGUAUGUACACAAUGCUUCAGAGACAUUUAUUAUUUGCUCAUACUUCCAUAAAGAAGUAAAGGCAUCCAUAAUGCCAAGAAGAAAAAGUUUGGGGCCGUAGCAGGAAGAUACUUACAUGGAUAUUCUUGCUGCAUUAAUAGCCGACGAACAUAGGUGUAUGUACUACUGUGAAUGCAGGAGAGCAAGCGUCAAACAUAAUAUUUCACUUUUCGGAGCCGAAGAGAAGACGACCAGAGACAUGAAUCUGGCAACUUCAGUAUGAGGGGCUCAGUGACCAUUGAAAGAAGUCUCGAGAAAAUAACAAGAGAGGUGUUGUACAAGGUGACCAAGAAAGGAAGCAGAAAGUCGACUAGGGACAGGAUUUUUCCCACAUGAAUCAGAGGUACAAAGUCAAGUUUCCCUUGCUCCAUUCUAUAAUUGCUUCACUAUAUAUGAUCUACUGCAAUACUAGGGCUACAAAUUUGUGAUGUGUAGAGAUGAAACCACUAAUUGCGUAUGAAUUGCUUCAGGUACUAUUCAGUUCCCUUUUCUCCCUUUCUUUAUCAACUUCAGUCAUAAAUACAUGGUGAGGUAUUUGUUGUGACUUAUGCUCUAUUCAGUCAGAAAUACAUGCAGAGUUAUUCUACAUGAUGUGCCUUGAUUUCUUACUUUCCAUGUAUUUAUUUCCUGGGGGCUUAUCAACCUUUUUCCAAUGAAUUGGUAAUAUCUAUGGCUGCACUUAAUAGUUGUUAUGUAGGCCAAUUGCCUCAUGGACCGAUAUGCUAUUCGACAAGAUGUGCCCUCAUUUCUUAUUUUCCAUGUAUUUAACACUUGAUGUUUAUCCAAUUUAUUGAAUCACCUCUGAUUUUUGUAUCUCAGUUUAAUUUUUCUCUUUUUUUUUUGCUAAUUAUGAUGUAAGUUUCUGAGAGUGUUGGCUGUGAUGCACCGAUUUCAAAUCAAUAAAAGGAGGUAAUCUAUAAUAACCUUGUGAGCAGAGGUAAUUAUCUCCGUCUCUUUCACAUGAUGUAUUUAAGUUCUACUGUAUUUUGAAGCCAGUCAUGUAUGUCUCUUGGAGUGCUGUUAGUAAUGACUUAGUAACGAUUUACGCUUAACCAUUUUACAAUAUGGGAUGGAACUUUGUGCAAGUUUUAGAUGAUUUACUUUUCUUUUGGUCCACUAUGAGGUGUGAAGUGGUAAAGAUCAACUAUUCUCACUUCUAUGCAUGACUUCUGGAGAGGUUACUUUCUUGCUCUCUUAAGUUUGAUAAUCUUACAGUACUUGGUAGAUGGACACUAUGCAUUCAACUAUCAUCAUUAUGUUACAAAGUAGUAUUCUGCAUUCAACCUUUGUACAUCAUAAGAUGGCAUUCUGCAGUGACAUACUGACAUGUUGUUUAGAAGAUUGUCAUUCUCCUGCUCCAAACAAAUGGCAUGCACAGUUUAAAUAAUUCAAUCUAUGCGCCUAGGUUAAGCAUGUAGCCAUGUUUUCGCAAAGGUUGAUUAUACAAUUUAAAUGCUUUAUUCCUAUGCAAUAUAGUUAAAUAAAUCUGUCUGGCAUUUACGAGCAUUUCUGCUUGAGAACAACCGA